rfam:Cavia porcellus supercont2_13 genomic scaffold, whole genome shotgun sequence.
UACCAGGACCUUCUCAGGUCCAAAAAUAUCAUAAUAAUCUUUAAGU